rnacentral:rRNA from 1 species
GUCUAUGGCCAUACCACCCUGAAUGUGCCUCAUUUUGUCUGAUCUCAGAAGCUAAGCAUGGUUGGGCCUGGUUAGUACUUGGAUGGGAAAAUUUAGUGCUUGAACACUGUGUUGUAGAUU